rnacentral:rRNA from 1 species
AGCAGCCGCGGUAAUUCCAGCUCCAAUAGCGUAUAUUAAAGUUGUUGCAGUUAAAAAGCUCGUAGUUGAAUUUCGGGAUCAGUACGUUGGUCGUGCCUUGGUACGUACUGGCGUCACUGGUUCCUACCUUCUGACGAACCGUCAUGUCAUUAAUUUGGUGUGGCGGGGAAUCAGGACUGUUACUUUGAAAAAUUGAGUGUUUAAAGCAGGCUCGCGCUUGAAUACAUUAGCAUGGAAUAAUGAAAUAGGACGUUCGAUCCUAUUUUGUUGGUUUCUAGGAUUGACGUAAUGAUUAAUAGGGAUAGUUGGGGCAUUAGUAUUCAAUUGUCAGAGGUGAAAUUCUU